GAUGAACGCUGGCGGCGUGCUUAACACAUGCAAGUCGAGCGAACAGACGAGUAGCUUGCUCCUUGGACGUUAGCGGCGGACGGGUGACGAACACGUAGUUAACCUACCUAUAAGACAGGGAUAACUUAGGGAAACCGAUACUGAUACCGGCUAAUCUUUCGAACCUCUUGGUUCGAUAGUGAAAGAUGGCUUUUCUGUCACCGAUCGAUGGACCUGCGCCGUAUUAGCUAGUUGGUAAGGUAACGGCUUACCAAGGCAACGAUACGUAUCCGACCUGAGAGGGUGAUCGGCCACACUGGAACUGAGACACGGUCCAGACUCCUACGGGAGGCAGCAGUAGGGAAUCGUCCGCAAUGGGCGAAAGCCUGACGGAGCAGCGCCGCGUGAGUGAUGAAGGUCUUCGGAUCGUAAAACUCUGUUAUGAGGGAAGAACCAACGUGUAAGUAACUGUGCACGUCGUGACGGUACCUAAUCAGAAAGCAACGGCUAACUACGUG
rnacentral:rRNA from 1 species